CUACGGGUCGCUCCAGUGGGGAAUAUUGCACAAUGGGCGCAAGCCUGAUGCAGCCACGCCGCGUGUAUGAAGAAGGCCUUCGGGUUGUAAAGUACUUUCAGCGGGGAGGAAGGGAGUAAAGUUAAUACCUUUGCUCAUUGACGUUACCCGCAGAAGAAGCACCGGCUAACCGUGCCAGCAGCCGCGGUAAUACGGAGGGUGCAAGCGUUAAUCGGAAUUACUGGGCGUAAAGCGCACGCAGGCGGUUUGUUAAGUCAGAUGUGAAAUCCCCGGGCUCAACCUGGGAACUGCAUCUGAUACUGGCAAGCUUGAGUCUCGUAGAGGGGGGUAGAAUUCCAGGUGUAGCGGUGAAAUGCGUAGAGAUCUGGAGGAAUACCGGUGGCGAAGGCGGCCCCCUGGACGAAGACUGACGCUCAGGUGCGAAAGCGUGGGGAGCAAACAGGAUUAGAUACCCUUGUAGUC
rnacentral:rRNA from 1 species